rnacentral:rRNA from 1 species
UGGGGAAUAUUGCACAAUGGGCGCAAGCCUGAUGCAGCCAUGCCGCGUGUAUGAAGAAGGCCUUCGGGUUGUAAAGUACUUUCAGCGGGGAGGAAGGGAGUAAAGUUAAUACCUUUGCCCAUUGACGUUACCCGCAGAAGAAGCACCGGCUAACUCCGUGCCAGCAGCCGCGGUAAUACGGAGGGUGCAAGCGUUAAUCGGAAUUACUGGGCGUAAAGCGCACGCAGGCGGUUUGUUAAGUCAGAUGUGAAAUCCCCGGGCUCAACCUGGGAACUGCAUCUGAUACUGGCAAGCUUGAGUCUCGUAGAGGGGGGUAGAAUUCCAGGUGUAGCGAUGAAAUGCGUAGAGAUCUGGAGGAAUACCGGUGGCGAAGGCGGCCCCCUGGACGAAGACUGACGCUCAGGUGCGAAAGCGUGGGGAGCAAACAGG